rnacentral:rRNA from 1 species
CCUACGGGUGGCAGCAGUGGGGAAUUUUGCGCAAUGGGGGAAACCCUGACGCAGCAACGCCGCGUGCGGGACGAAAGCCCUCGGGCUGUAAAACGCUUUCAGCCGGGAAGCCAACGACGGUCACUGCAGAAGAAGCUCCGGCUACCUCCGUGCCAGCAGCCGCGGUAAUACGUAGGGGGCGAGCGUUAUCCGGAUUCGUUGGGCGUGAAGCGCGCGUAGGCGGCCGCCUAAGCGGAACCUCUAACUCCGGGGCCAAACCUCGGGCCGGGUUCCGGACUGGGCGUCUCGAGUGCGGUAGAGGAGAGCGGAAUUCCCGGUGUAGCGGUGGAAUGCGCAGAUAUCGGGAAGAACACCGAUGGCGAAGGCAGCUCUCUGGGCCGUCACUGACGCUGAGGCGCGAAAGCUGGGGGAGCGAACAGGAUUAGAUACCCGUGUAGUC